GAAGAAGAAAAUAUGGAGAAAAGAAAGAGCAAACUCAAAGUCCUAGGAGCAUAUAACAUUAGCCGCAGGGUUUUUGUUGGGUUUUGCUCUUCAACUUUCUUCCUUCAGUCCAUUCCCACCCAAUGCCCUGAGAGACCCAAAACACCGAAAUGCGUCGACGCCUCCCUCGCGUCUCCCACUCCAUCCUCUCCAAACCCACCAAUAACAACAAUCCCCUACGCUUCCUCCCCAUCUUCUCUAUCCUACACCCUCCUCCUUCCCCCCUUCGCCGCUUCUCCUCCGCCACCCUCUCCAAAGACGACGGCGUCUCCCUCUGCUGCCAGAUGUGGAUUGACAACUUCCGCCACCCCGACCGCGCCGUCACCAACCUCUCCCCCCUCCUCCGCCGCUUCGACCUCUGGGUCCUCGCCUACCAGAAGGUCGCCACCGACGACACCGGCUCCUACACGCCGCGCUCCUCCCUCCACGCCUCCACUCUUCAGGACCUCCUCGCCCUCCGCAACGCCGUCCUCGACGCCAAGUUCAAGUGGGGCGCCAGGCUCAAGUUCUUCAUCAAAUCCCCCAAGGACAAAACCGACUACGACUCCCUCUCCAAGCGCAAAAUCAAAACCAUCCUCACCACCACGCAGCCGGCUCCCUUCCAGGACAGAAUUGUCCAUGAAGUUCUCCUUAUGAUCCUCGAACCGAUCUACGAGCCGAGGUUUUCGCCAAAGUCGUAUGCUUUUCGACCCGGUAGGACGCCCCACACUGUUUUGAGGGUUAUUAGGAGAAGCUUUGCUGGGUACUUGUGGUAUAUAAAGGGUAAUUUUAGUGUUUUGUUAGAUGGGAUGAAGGUGGGGUUGGUGAUUAAUUCUGUUAUGAGAGAUGUUAGGGAUAAGUUGGUUGUUGAUUUGAUAAAGGAUGCUUUGGUUACGCCAGUGGUUGUUACUACUGUGGAGAAGAAGGAGAAGAAGAAGAAGAGGAAGUAUCAGAAGAAGAGGGUGUUGGCUGAGGAUGAGCCUAAGCCUGAUCCUUAUUGGUUGGAUACUUUUUUCGGGUUUGCGCCGGAGGAGGCAGAGAGGGUGCCCAAUUGGGGGCACUGUGGGGUGCUUAGUCCGCUUUUGGCGAAUGUUUGUUUGGACGAGUUGGAUAGGUGGAUGGAGGGGAAGAUUAAAGAGUUUUAUGUUCCUUCCAAGAGUGAUGUUAUAUGGAAUAGUCCUGAAGAGGAGCAGGGGAACACAUCGUGGCCGGAGUUCGUGCCCACGAGUGGGCCAGAUAAGACGAGGAAGAUGGAUUUCCUAAGGUAUGGAGGGCAUGUCUUGAUUGGUGUUAGAGGGCCUAGGGCUGAUGCGGCUGCAUUGAGGAAGCAGUUGAUUGAGUUUUGUGAUCUAAGGUUUAUGCUCAAGCUUGAUAAUGAGAGCCUCCCUAUAGAGCAUAUAACCAAAGGGAUAAUGUUUUUGGAUCAUGUGUUGUGUAGGAGGGUUGUGUAUCCAACUCUUAGGUAUACUGCCACUGGUGGUAAGAUCAUAAGUGAGAAGGGUGUAGGGACGUUGUUGUCGGUCACGGCAAGCUUGAAACAAUGUAUUAAGCAGUUUAGGAAGUUGAGUUUUCUCAAGGGGGAUAGGGAUCCGGAUCCCCAGCCUUGUUUUAGGAUGUUUCAUGCCACACAGGCGCAUACCAAUGCUCAAAUGAACAAGUUUUUGUCAACAAUGGUUGAGUGGUAUAGAUAUGCAGACAAUAGGAAGAAGAUUGUGAACUUCUGUUCUUAUAUCAUAAGAGGCUCCCUUGCUAAGCUGUAUGCUGCAAAGUACAAGCUUCGGUCACGUGCAAAAGUGUACAAGAUUGGUGCUCGUAACCUGAGCCGUCCAUUGAAGGAGAAAAAAGGACAGUCUCCUGAGUACCAGAAUUUGCUGAGGAUGGGUCUUGCCGAGUCAAUAGACGGGCUACAAUAUACGAGGAUGUCUCUUGUGCCUGAGACAGAUUACUCCCCGUUCCCUAGUAAUUGGAGGCCUGACCAUGAAAAGUUGUUGCUAGAAUACAUAAAACUGGAAGAUCCAAAAACUUUGGAGGAACAACGGGAUUGCAUCAGAGAACAAGGUCUUGUUUCACCUCAAGACUAUAUUUCAAGGCUUGUGUGGAAUUACAAAAGGAAUUCUCUUCCUAUGGACCAGCUGUCCUUAGUAAGGAGCAACGAAAGUGUUGUAGGAAAUCAGCAUUUGCUAGUUGGCUCAAACCAGGAUGACCAGGACCACACAAACAAAGAGGAAGAAAAUGAUGGAAGGAUGAAUGCAGCAGCACAAAUGUAACACAAAGUUACCGCCAUUACGAGGCAACCAGCAAUGAUUGUUUGCACUGUAUUUCAGAUUCAGAUGAUGGCAUGACUUUCAUGAGCAGUUAGCAUGGAUGUCAAGUUUUGGAAUUAAUCGACGCCAAAAUGUUACACUUGGCAUCUUCGUUGAAUCUGUCUUUGAUGUUCAAUAAACCCUGCUUGUCAGAGAAAGGAUACAAUAACUGAAGAGUGGAGGGCUCUUACGUGCAGACAUCGACUCGGACAAAAUAUUUAACACUGCCACUCUGCUAGUGAACACUGACUGGGCUAUCAGGUGGCAAAAAUCCAUGCACUUGAAAAUGUGGAAAGUAAUUCCACAUACUGUUCUGGAGUGCUAUAUCUGUGAGUCCACAGGAAGGAGUAUGCAGCUUCCUGUGGGAAGCUAAUAAAGCGUGUUCCUUGUGGAUGCAUAGCCAGCAUAGGACAAGGCAAGGUGUGAAUGGAACUCCAACAAGAUCUUUUCAAAUAUCAUGUUAAUUUUGUAAAUUGGCUAUUUGUUCAUAUGUGCUUGCCCCAAUUCUUUUUUAAUGAUUUGAGUAUACCUGCUACUCUUAGUUCUUGACCACACAUUUUAUAGUUGUAUCUUUUUUUUCACUUUAUUUUCUGUACGGGCAACUCAAAAGCUGUAAGAACUUCAAAGCAGUGUACUAAGAAGAAGCUCAUUAUACUACAUUAUGAGUUUCUCCUUUGAUUCCUCAUUUUAAAAAAAAUAAAUUAUAAUUUAGUUUUGUAAAUUCA